CUCCACAGGUGUUCCUGGUUGACUGAUUGGGGCUCGCACACCAGCGGGUUGUUUCUGCAGCACCGGGGUGCUCUAUAAGAACUGCGUUCAGACAGCGGAAGGACGCCUGAGUGUUACCGUAGUGGUGCCUCCCUCGUGUUCUGAUUCCUCUCAUGGUGGACUCCUCUGAGUGGUACCCCCGGUUCCUUCCGAGUCGGUUCCCCUCACUGGUCCCCCCACCCUCACGGACCUCCUUCAGGUUUCCCCCGCUGUUCUGGUUGCUUGGAUCUCCCCGGUGCUGCUCGGACCCUCUCUGGCUUCAGCUCUCAGGUCACCUGGACGAUCGCCUUCUCCUCCACCUGGCCAGCUUUAAGUCCAACCCGCCUUCUCCCCGGUCCGGCUCUCCCCGCUCUGAGACGUUCCUUGGUUCCGGCUCCCUGUGCUGAGCUUCGGUCUGCGGUUGCAGAAUCCCCUUUCGUUCUGUUUUUUUUCCAAUAAAAACCCUCAAAGAUCUGCCUGUUUCCGAGUGUGUUCAGCAUGUGGGCCAAACACGUCAAGCCAAACAUGACAGAAGAACACUCAGGCCAGUCAGACCCAGCGAGUACACUCGGAAACGCUGUAACAGCUCAACAGGAUCAGAUUCGAGGUUUAGAAGCUUCUGUUUUUGGUUUACAGGAUCAGUUACAGGGCUUAGCUGCCCAGAUGAGCCAGCUGGUUAGCAUGUUUAAUGCUAGUCUGCAGCCAGCAGCUUCCGCGUCCCCUGACCCCUCCCCCGAGGCCGCGUCAGUCAUGACGUCACCGGACGUCCCCGAGUACUCCUCCCCCACUCC